ACUGCUCAGUAACACGUGGACAACCUGCCCUUAGGUUGGGUAUAAACCCGGGAAACUGGGUAUAAUACCCGAUAGGUCUCGAUUGCUGGAAUGCAUCGAGAUUUAAAGCUCCGGCGCCUAAGGAUGGGUCUGCGGCCUAUCAGGUAGUAGUGGGUGUAGCGUACCUACUAGCCUACGACGGGUACGGGUUGUGAGAGCAAGAGCCCGGAGAUGGAUUCUGAGACACGAAUCCAGGCCCUACGGGGUGCAGCAGGCGCGAAAACUUUACAAUGCUGGCAACAGCGAUAAGGGAACCUCGAGUGCCAGGUUACAAAUCUGGCUGUCGAGAUGCCUAAAAAGCAUUUCAUAGCAAGGGCCGGGCAAGACCGGUGCCAGCCGCCGCGGUAACACCGGCGGCUCGAGUGGUAACCGUUAUUAUUGGGUCUAAAGGGUCUGUAGCCGGCCGGAUAAGUCUCUUGAGAAAUCUGGCAGCUUAACUGUCAGGCUUUCAGGAGAUAUUGUCUGGCUCGAGGCCGGGAGAGGUGAGAGGUACUUCAGGGGUAGGGGUGAAAUCUUGUAAUCCUUGAAGGACCACCAGUGGCGAAGGCGUCUCACCAGAACGGACCUGACGGCAAGGGACGAAAGCUAGGGGCACGAACCGGAUUAGAUACCCGGGUAGUCCUAGCCGUAAACGGUACUCGCUAGGUGUCGGCCACGGUGCGACCGUUGUCGGUGCCGUAGGGAAGCCGUGAAGCGAGCCACCUGGGAAGUACGGCCGCAAGGCUGAAACUUAAAGGAAUUGGCGGGGGAGCAC
rnacentral:rRNA from 1 species